AGAUAUAAAGCAAUCUGGCUGUGGCUGUCUCUCACCCCAUUGAUCACUAGGAAGAUUUAGCCGAACCUGAUGGCUACUUGGGUGUUCUCUCCCCUCCCCCACUCCAUUCUAUACAUAUCCCUCUUGAAGCUGCAUGCCUGGUCAAAGAAAAUAACCACCAAUAGAAAAGGAUCUUUCUUAGAUCACACAUAUACAAGUAGCUCUGACCUUGUGCCUCUAGAACUAAUUCUUGCUUGGUGGAUCCAUUUGGUGCACUUUCAUCAA
ensembl:misc_RNA 7SK 7SK RNA